GUGCUGUUUGUGUGUGAGGGUACUGGUAGUGUGCUGUGUGUGUAUUUGUUAGGGUCCUGUUUGUGAGGGUACUGUUAGUGUGCUGUGUGAGGGUGCUGUUUGUGUGCUGUGUGUGAGGGUGCUGUUUGUGUGCUGUGUGUGUUUGUGAGGGUGCUGUAUGUGUGUUGGUGCUGUAUGUGUCACGAUUCCGGAACCUAACACGCUAACAGGUCACAGAGAGGAAGGUUGCUAUACCGGUCCUUAGAGUGGCCGGGCUAAGCACGCUAAGAAUAGUCAGGAGACAAGCCAACUAAAGGGAGCCAGAAAACAGGAGAACGAGAAACAAGCCGAGGUCAAAGGAGCGGAGAAGACAGGAUAAACGGAAUAACGAGCCAAAUAAUCGGUAACCAGAGAGCAAGACGAGAACACUACGCUACAGGGAUCACAAGACCACAACAGGGCACUGAGGGACAGGAAAGGUAAGUAUAAAUACCCUUGGUUUAAUUCUGAUUGGAUAAUUUCCAAUCAGAAUUAACAAUCACACGUGGGGGAUAUCUAUACCUCUCACUGUGAUUGUGGUACUGUUCCUUUAACGCCGGGUCACUCACGUGACCCCGGCGAUUACAUAAGUCAGUGACCUCCCAGCGUGCAGCGUUAUACAUGCUGCCGCUGGGGGGCGUGGAGGACGAGAGCGGCGAGCGGCAGAGAGGAGACGCCACUCGCCGACAGGUAAGCGGAGCGGAUCCCUGACAGUAUGUGGGUUGGUGCUGUGUAUGUCUGUGGG